GUUAUAGGGACAAGUGAAUAAGUGCACAUGGCGGAUGCCUUGGCGAUUACAGGCGAUGAAGGACGUAGUAGCUUGCGAUAAGCUGCGGGGAGCUAGCAAACAAGCUUUGAUCCGCAGAUUUCCGAAUGGGGAAACCCACCCUUUUAGGGUAUCACUCACUGAAUACAUAGGUGUGUGAAGCGAACGCGGCGAACUGAAACAUCUAAGUAGCUGCAGGAAAAUAAAUCAACCGAGAUUCCCAAAGUAGUGGCGAGCGAAAUGGGAAGAGCCUGUACGUGAUAGUCGGACUGAUAGUGGAACGCUCUGGAAAUGGCGGCCAUAGCGGGUGAUAGCCCCGUACACGAAAUCAGACCGGUGGUACUAAGCGUACGACAAGUAGGGCGGGACACGAGAAAUCCUGUCUGAAUAUGGGGGGACCAUCCUCCAAGGCUAAAUACUCGUAAUCGACCGAUAGUGAACCAGUACCGUGAGGGAAAGGCGAAAAGAACCCCGGGAGGGGAGUGAAAUAGAUCCUGAAACCGUGUGCAUACAAACAGUAGGAGCCUCCUUGUGGGGUGACUGCGUACCUUUUGUAUAAUGGGUCAGCGACUUACAUUCAGUGGCGAGGUUAACCGCAUAGGGAAGCCGUAGAGAAAUCGAGUCCGAACAGGGCGAUAGUCGCUGGGUGUAGACCCGAAACCAAGUGAUCUACUCAUGGCCAGGAUGAAGGUGCGGUAACACGCACUGGAGGU
rnacentral:rRNA from 1 species